GAUGAAGAACGCAGCGAAAUGCGAUAAGUAAUGUGAAUUGCAGAAUUCAGUGAAUCAUCGAAUCUUUGAACGCACAUUGCGCCCGCCAGUAUUCUGGCGGGCAUGCCUGUCUGAGCGUCAUUUCAACCCUCAUGCCCCUAGGGCGUGGUGUUGGGGAUCGGCCAAAGCCCGCGAGGGACGGCCGGCCCCUAAAUCUAGUGGCGGACCCGUCGUGGCCUCCUCUGCGAAGUAGUGAUAUUCCGCAUCGGAGAGCGAUGAGCCCCUGCCGUUAAACCCCCAACUUUCCAAGGGUGACCUCAGAUCAGGUAGGAAUACCCGCUGAACUUAAGCAUAUCAAUAAGCGGAGGA
rnacentral:misc_RNA from 1 species